rnacentral:rRNA from 1 species
GUCUAUGGCCAUACCACCCUAUAUGUACCCAAUCUUGUCUGAUCUCAAAAGCUAAGCAGGGUCAGGCAUGAUUAAUACUUGGAUAGGGGGAACCAAAAGGUAGAUAGCAUUAUAAGUA